rnacentral:misc_RNA from 1 species
UGAGUUGUUCCUGACUUGCUCUCGAAGCGGGCUCAUCGCAUGUUUGUGCGGUCAACUGUUUCGGAGCCUGUCUCUUGAGCGUCCCGCCCGAUGCACAUAUUUAGCUUGGGCGGUGUGAUGAAUGGGUUGGUGCCUGUGUUGCUACUCUUUUUGGGACAAUGUUCGUUUUGUUACAACGACAUGUCAUGUUGCCUUCGAUUAUGUUUUUGAGAAAGUUGCGUUGGCUAUUGAAACAUCGGCUUUGUUCCGGAGUGCGAUUGAUGGGUCUGGACUUGUCUGCAGCUCGCUUCAUAUUAUAUGAGCAGCUCUUUCGGAUACGGUGGCUAUGUGGGUUCUUGUGGUCCUCUUCGGUCCGCAUGCGACCUCGUAGUUCGCCCGUAACAGUUCAUCGUGCGGUUGGAUCUUGUGCUAUCUUUGCGUUCCCGUUUUUGCUCUCGUGCCGGAGCAAAGGCGGGUCGUGGGGAUGCAGAUGCUGGCUUACUGGGGCGCGGUGCUGUACGAGUGGGAGUUCUAUGUUAUAUUAGUGAUCGCCGUUGCGUGCGUGGAUAUAGGUAUUCCGUCCCGGAGUGCCUCAGCACCUCGCAGGCUCACAAUUUUUGACUUGCUACCUGGUUGAUCCUGCCAGUAGUCA